GGAUCCCCAGAUGUUCCCAGUCCCUGGUCAGGACAAAAUAUAGACAUAUCACCAUGGAGUUUGGGAUCAGCUGGGUUUUCCUUGUUGCUAUUUUAAGAGGUGAUCUGUGGAGAAUAAGAGACACUGAGUAUAUGAGUGAAAAUGACUGAGAGAAACAGUGGAGAGUGACAGUUUCCUGACCUGACAUCUUUGUGUUUGCAGGUGUGCAUUGUGAGGUAUAGCUGGUGGAAUCUGGGAGAGGCUUGAUGCAGCCUGGGGGAUCUCUGAUACUCUCCUGUGAAGCCUCUGGAUUCUCCUUAAGCAGCUACAAUAUGACCUGGGUCCACCAGCCUCCAGGGAAGGGACUAGAGUGGGUCUCAUGCAUUAGUACUACUGGUACCCCCAGCUCUGUGAAGGGCUAUUAACCAUCUCCAGAGACAAUGGCAAGAACAGGCUCUAUCUGCAAAUGACCAACCUGAGAGCCCAGGACAGGCCUUGUAUUACUGUACAA